rnacentral:rRNA from 10 species
UCUUACGGUCCGACUACACCACUAGGCACGCCCGAUCUCGUCUGAUCUCGGAAGCUAAGCAGGGUCGGGCCUGGUUAGUACUCGGAUGGGUGACUGCUUGGGAAUACCAGGUGCUGUAAGCA